rnacentral:lncRNA from 1 species
UUUGUCUUCUUUUGUCCCUACCCCCUUCUGAAUUCUCUUUUAAUGUUUUGGAAAUACAUUAUAAUAUUUAUUCUUAGUGCAUAUAUAUUACCUUCUUAUUGCAUACAACAUGUCUCUCUAGCAGAAUAUCCUAGAGUUCCUUAUAGGGUGAUAGAUGAGUUCCAUGUGAACAGAAGCAGAGGUAUCAGAACUCUUAAGGUCUAGGAAGAGAAUCUGCAUAGUUUCAAAUUCCUUUGCAAUCUCUACGUCAAAGCACAUAAUAGGAACAGUCUAUUUUGAAGGAAAGACAAAAUGGACUACACUUCUUGAUAAAAAAAAAAAAACAGCAGUAUUUAGGUAUAGGGAGAGGAGGAAUUGUUGUUGCCUAUCUUUGGAGACUAUCUUCCAUGGUACCCAAUAAAUUAUGCAUUUACAUAUGUGUUAUGUGUGUGUCUGUGUAUGUGAUAUAAACCAUGAUUGAACAUAAUCACACACUAGGCAUGCUCUGAGAUGUAUACAUGAAAAAAUUAGGCAUUCACCUUAUCUUUACGAGCUAACAAUCCAGUGGAAGACACAGUUUAUAAUUAAAAAUAAAUAAAAACAAAUAAGUAUCAAGGGGAUAUAAUUAUGGAAGACAAAAUAAAGGACUUAUACUAGGAAAGUUGGAUCAAGAAAAACUUUUAGGGAGACAGAAUAUUUGAGCAACAAUCUGCUUAAGUAAAUAAAAAAUUCUAAUUUUUGCAACACGAGUUAAAAUGUAUGUGGUUUAUAGAUAACAGAACCUCAGGAAAAAAGGAGGAAGCAGAUCUGGGCUUGAUUAUCUUUCUCGCUUGGUACUGAAGGCAAGAGGAAGCUAAUUAGUAUUAAAAGGUAUUGCCAUCUGAUGGCAUAUAGUCAUGAAACAACAAAAUAAAUUAUUGCUAAUGGGCACCUAAGAUGAAGGGUCCAUUAAAGGCAAAACUCUGGGGAACAUGUGUUUGUUGCCAUAGAAAAUAAAGCUUAACAGGAAUUCAAGAACUAUGGAUCUGAGUGGCUACUUCUAAAAGAUAAACACAGCUUUGAAAAUGUUGUGAACUGAAGUUUUGAAACAUUUUAUAUCUAUGCUAAAAUAGUCUAUCUCUUACAGCUAUAGGGCUGACUAACCAAAAUCCAAAGGCAUAAUUUGUUUCUAUUGAUAAGCAAACAUCAUCAGUUGAAUUCACAAUAUAAACAGAUAUUUAUUAUAACAGGACAUACACCAUGGAAAAGUGGGAAAUAAUCUUAAAGUUAGAAUCAUGUAUCUGAUAAUAGACACUUCAACUCAUCCUCUUAUCUCUUAAAAGUAGUCAUAUAUUAUCUAUUUCAUCAGGCUUGUUUUGCCUUUCUAAAAAAAAUCUUUUAAAACCUAUGCUUAAGUAUCCACCCAAGAGACUAAUUUAAUUGGUUUAGGGGUGUGGCUUUUUUAUUAACAAUUUUUCAAAUCUCCCCAGGUAAUUACAAUGUGUAGCCAAUGUUGGGAUUCACUGACUCACAGAGUUUUCUGGUUUUGCUGUUGUUGUUGCUUUUCCUUAAAAAACAAAUUGGACCAGCCGGGAGUAAUUUUAAUUGUUCUCUUGGUUGCAUAAACUUAAAAAAAAAAUUGCACAAUCUGAAAGUUGAGAGUUAAGUUUUAUUUGGGGCAAAAUUUGAAUUUAAGCCCAGGAGACAGUAUCUCAGGUAGCCCUGAAAAACUGCUCCAAGGAGACCAGGGGGGAGCUAGGAUAUAUGAGUUUUUUGCAACUAAGGGAAGGUAGUGGGAACAAGAUUUACAGAAAACCAGAUUUACAGAAAAGGAUUUAUAGAUAACCAGUUUUUAUGGGAAGAUGUAAAGGUCUGGGCUUACAGGAAUCACACCUUUGAUAUGCACCUCAGCUA